rnacentral:rRNA from 1 species
AUUGAACGCUGGCGGCAGGCCUAACACAUGCAAGUCGAGCGAGCGGCGGACGGGUGAGUAAUGUAUGGGGAUCUGCCCGAUAGAGGGGGAUAACUACUGGAAACGGUGGCUAAUACCGCAUACUAUCGGAUGAACCCAUAUGGGAUUAGCUAGUAGGUGGGGUACAGGCUCACCUAGGCGACGAUCUCUAGCUGGUCUGAGAGGAUGAUCAGCCACACUGGGACUGAGACACGGCCCAGACUCCUACGGGAGGCAGCAGUGGGGAAUAUUGCACAAUGGGCGCAAGCCUGAUGCAGCCAUGCCGCGUGUGUGAAGAAGGCCUUCGGGUUGUAAAGGACUUUCAGCAGGGAGGCGUUACCUGCAGAAAAAGCACCGGCUAACUCCGUGCCAGCAGCCGCGGUAAUAC